rnacentral:lncRNA from 1 species
CAAGUCAACGCCUCCGUUCAAUGAAGCGGAUGUAUCGGAAAAACCCAAAAGCUUCAUUUUCCCCUCAAAACGCGUAAACCCCAAAAUGAGCUUCUUCUGCAACUGCAGCAACCUCUCUACUUCCUUCUGCCUCCUCAUCCUCCCGUUCUUCUUCACCUUCAUCCAUGCAACCACUUUCGAAAUCCAAAACAGCUGCCCCUACACCAUCUGGGCAGCCGCCGUACCCGGCGGCGGAAGGCAACUCGACCAAGGCCAGACCUGGAACCUUUCAGUGAGCUCCAACAUAACGGGCCGCAUCUGGGGCAGAACCAAGUGCAGCUUCGAUGAAGCCGGAAGGGGGAGCUGCGAGUCCGGUGGAUGUGGAGGCCUCCUUGAAUGCCAAGAAUAUGGUUCACCGCCCAACACCAUUGCCGAGUACACCCUAAACCAAUCCAACAAAACUGAUUUAUUCGAUGUUUCUCUGGUGGAUGGAUUCAACCUUCCAAUGGAGUUUAGCCCAACUUCUGAUGGGUGCAGAGGGGCCAAUUGUACAGGCGACAUUAACGGGCCGUGCCCAAAUGAGUUGAGGGACCCGGGUGGGUGUAACAACCCAUGUACCGUUUUCAAAAAUUCUCAGUACUGUUGCGAUUCCGGGAGCUGUGGCCCUACAACUUACUCCGAGUUUUUCAAGGAUAGGUGCCCAAAUGCAUACAGUUACCCUGAGGAUGAUUCAACCAGUUUGUUUACGUGCUCCACUGGCUCUAACUAUCGUGUAGUCUUCUGCCCUUGAAUUAUGGGUUGCUAUUAAUUGUUUGAAGUAUUUUCUGAAUUGCCGUGUAAUUUUAUGCUAUGAGGGUAUUUCUUCCUAAGUUUUGUUGGAUGAUCCGUUGAAAUAAAUACUCGAUAACUUCUGUAUUAUUUUAAAAAGUAAUGUAUCAAUAUGCCCAUUUUUAAAAGCUAUAGUGUUAUAAAUUUCAAACUCUUUAAAAUUUUGAGAGAUGAUACUAAGAACUAGCAUACUUUUGUAAAAGAAGUCAUAAAAGGAGAGUCAUCUAAAAAUUUUAAACUUUUAAAAUUUUUCACUAAAACCAAUGUCUCUCUCCGCUUGUUGACUCGUCUGGAAGUCAAGUCCAACGACCCCAUAGCCGUCAACCGAAACCGUUCAUGAAAAAUCUGAUCACCUUCCUCGCCAAAAUGCCAAAAUCCCAAGAUGACUUUCUUCAGCAGCUGCAACAACCUCUCCACUUCCUUCUUCCUCCUCAUCACCACUCUCUUCUUCACCUUCCUCCACGCUUCCGCGCUUCCACCUUCCACAUCCAAAACAACUGCCACUUCACCCUGUGGGCCGCGCACGGCCGUUCCCCGCGGCGGAACGCAACUCUGAUGGGUGGGCCAAAAAAUUCCCAAAUUAUUGGGAGUGGGCCUUUAUAAGUCCCAAAUUGCUAGGGGUGGGCCAAUGGGUAGUGAUGAUGUCAUAGUGCUCUAGCCCAAUUUUUUUUUAAAAUAAACAAAUAAAGGAUUGUAAUCAGUUUAAAAUGUUGAUAUACGGACAAAAAUUGAACAUUCAGACUAAUAAAAGUUAAUAAAUCCCAUACCAAUUGUUACUAAAUUUAAAAUCUAUUUAUCUAAUGAAAAAAUUUAGAGAAGUUAAAAAACUUUAACAAAAAUAGGUAUAAUUCCAAUAGAGAUUAUAUUUGACAAUUUUUCAUACUAGUUCAUGGACAGAUAAUGAAAGAAAAGUUGAAUCAUAUUUUGUUUAAUUUACUCUUCUUUUUUUUUAAUAUUUUUAAAAUUAUAUAUAUUUUUCAUUUCUCCGUAUUUUCCCUUUUUUCUCUAAAAAAAUAUGUGAAUAUAACUUUGUUCAUUUACAAUUAAUAAUGUCUUUUUCCGCUAGUUUUCUCCAAGUGAACGAUAAAUGUACUUGCAACAAAGUGUGUUCAAAUUAUUUUUUCGGGUAUUUUUUUUGAAGCUUAAGUUCAUUUUUAGAAGAAAUAGAUAAUAGUUUUAUUAUAAUAGAGUUGUAAUGUUUUAUGUAUUUUUUUAAUACUUUAAACGUCUGUAAUUGACCUUGAAAAUAACAGUUUUUGAGCUUAUAGUAAGACGUUUAUACUUGUGGAGGCAUCCGAUCUAAUGAUUUGAAAUAUUUAUUAUUUGCGCAGUGAAUAAAGACGUUGAUAGGAUAUCCUUUUAUCAUUUUAAUAUUUCGACGGAGAGAGGCUUUUAUCCAGAUGGAUGUAGGACCCACAGACUUCUCAUUAAUUUUUGAUAAUUAUUUUAUAUUUUAUUUUAUUUUUAAAAAAUUGUUUUCAAAUGACAUCGUCAAAUAGGCUGUUCGUAAUCAUCACUUCCAAUGCAACAUCUUUCGUUGAAUGGAAACUCAGAAAAUCUAAAGUAUCAUCGUAAAAUUCAUGAGGAAUAUGCCAGAAGAUGACCGUUUCAAACCUUUUAUAAUAUUAUUAUAUUUUCUGUAUUUUCUUUCCGCAAAUUUUCCUGAACUAAACACGAGUGAUAAACUACACCUUGAUUUGCGGGGAAAAUCCAUUGGCUAGAGAUUGACUGAAAGCCAAAACUUAGGCUUCGUUGCAAGACAUUUUGGCAGCCAACGACUCAGGCAAACACCGUAAAAGUCUAAAGAGACGCUGUCCGCCCAAACAAUCCACAAAUCUCUUAUCUUUUUAUCAUCUAAUACUCGGAUUCUAGAAAAGUCUACUGUAUCUCUUAGGUUAUAUUUAGUUUCGAAAAAUACAAAAGAAAGAAAAAAAAUAUUAAAAAAAAUAAUUUUUUCAUAUUCGAUUGUCUUAUAAAUUAUUUUAAAAAAAAUUAAAUAUGAUUAAAAUUAAUUAAAAAUUUAUGGAUUUUAAAAUUAUUUAAUCUUUAUAUUGAUGAGUUAAAAUAAAUAAAAAUAAUUUUUCAUCUUUUAACUCUAUUUUUUAUUUUUCUUCAUUUUUUUCUUUUAUUUUUUUUCUUUUUUUUCUUUUUCUUUUUUAUAUAUAUUUUCCCUUAAAUUUUAUGAGAACCACAUAUAAUCUUAAAAUUUUAAUAAUUUUAAUUUAUCAUUCUAAUCAUUCUAGAAAAUUUCAUCAUUAAAAAAUGUAAGAAAAAAAAAUUAGGGUGAAUAAAUUAUUUUUAUAUAUUAUUUUAAACUUAUUUUAUUUAUUUUAAAUUUUAAUAUAAAAAUUGUAUGAGCUUGUAAUUAAAUUUAUUUUAUUAAUUUUUUUUUAUAAUAUAGUCAAACAUAUAUAAAAAAAAAUCAAUUUUAUUAACAAUUUUUUUCUUUUCUUCAUUGAUUUGCUCCUGACGCCAUUUCAUCUAGAAUGGCAUAGAUAAUUUAAAGCAACAGUCAAAGGUCAUCCAAAAAAUUGAACAUGAUAGGUUGUUCAAAUGCAAGUUUACCGGUUCCCCGGAUUCUUCUAAGUUCUGGCAGCUUGACUUCACUUCCGCAUUCUGCAUUGGAGAUGUCACAGAUGUAUGGCCAUGAUUAAUGCCGUUCUCUUCAGUCAUUCCUAUGUGUGUGGACGCGUGAUGAAUUGGAAUCUAAGCAGGAAAGAUGCACGCUCCAUUCAAGUCACGUUUUCUCGUGGGAGGAUUGUCUUGAUUUUAUUAUGCGUGUAUUCUCCUGACUCUACCAUGGCCACUUGGCUUGCCAAGUCUAGAGUAAAGCCAUGAGUGGACAAUUCCAUUUCUUUCUUCAUCUUUUUCCACGGAAUCAAGUCCAACAAAAUGCUGAAAUUUCUAUUCGAAUUAACCCACUUCUCACGUAAUCUCCCAAACCAUUGCCACCAUUCAUCUAUAAAAACCCUACCAUACAUGCAUCUCCAAAACAUCAAUUAACCCAAACCCAUGUUAGUGCUCUGUCUUGGCUUGCCCUGUUUAAGAACAUUCUCUUUUAUAUAUAUUGUUAUACAACUUUCUACGUGAUAUGUUCUCAUUGGUUUAAUGUAUUACUAAAAAAUGUUCUUCAGGAUUUUGGAUGAGGUUGUGUUUGCAUUAACAUGAUCACUUUCAAAUUAUUUUUUGUAGGCAUGGUUCGUGCAGCUAUCAAGUACAAAUAGUUUGUGUAACUGGAUGUUGAUCGUCAUCUUCAUUGUGGUUACUUUUAAUAUCACUUUGUCUAAAUUAUUCUAAGACUAAACAUGAAAGUUCAAUAUCAUUUUGUUUAAAAUAGUAUAAGAAGGAACAUUGAAUAUGCAAAACAUUCAUACGAAGGACAAUCCGAUAGAUGCCUUAAUAAAAUCAAUUAACACUGAUAAAUUCAAUUAGUGCAAAUCCUCUUUUGAUUUCACAAUAACAUAAGCAACAUAUGAUAGGGUAAAACUUAGAAAUAUGAUUUCAAGUGAAAUAAUAUUAACGUUAAAGUCAUCUCACAUAAGAAAAAAAAAGAAAAAAAAAAGAGCUUCUUUAUGCUAUCUGAGGGGCAUCCAUCCUUGAUAUUCUUCAUCCUAAAAAAAACUUUUAUUUUUUUGCAAGUUUUUAUGUUAUCUCCUCUAAAUCGUAAAAAGAGAGGUUACAAUUUUGUAUUUAUAUGAUGAAUAUUUUUUAGUUUUGUUCUUUGGGUUUCCUUCAUAAUUAAAAGGGUUUAAUAUGUAAGUAUUUUUAAUUAUUUUAUUUAUUCUAUUACAUUAUUAUUUUAUUAUUCUAUUUUUAAAUUAUGGGAGCAUCAUUUCAAAACACUACCUUUAAAAAAAUAAAUAAAAAUAUAGUUUUUUAUAUUUGAGAUUUUAAACAAAAUUUUAUUUAUAAAAAUAAUUAAAAUUACGUUUUGCCUAACAUGCGUACGUUGUAGUCAUCCGCGGAGUUGGUUCGAGAGGACAUUGGAAAAUCACACAAAGUGAUCAUGUGCCUUUAAUUGGAAAAUAAACAGUGGAUUUUCUCUUCUCUAGAAUUGGUUGCUUCUCAGAUAAAGGUCAAAAUUCAAUUAUGAUAUUAUGGAAAAUAGUCCCAGUCGAACCAAUUUUCAAGGCAUUUGAAGUGGCCAUUCAUUCAAGAAAGGAAGUUUGAAAUAAAUUUUUCCAACGCAACGCGGCACGCACCCGGCCAUGUUUUCAAGAUGCCUUCCUACCUGUCCUCAGAAUUCAGUAUUCAUGAAUUUCCAUAAAAGUUAGACAGGUUUCUGAAAAUAAUAAAAAUGAUAAUGAUGUGGACCCCUUGAAAUAAAUUCAGUAUUCAUGAAUGGGCAAUUCUGGUUCUUUCAUCAUCUUUUUAUCUGUAAUCAAUCAUCCAAUCAAGUCCAACAAAAUGCUGAAAUUUCCAUUCGAAUUAACCCACUUCUCACGUAAUCUCCCAAACCAUAGCCACCCUUCAUCUAUAAAAACCCCACCAUACAUCCAUCUCCAAGACACCGCAUUAGCCCAAACCCAUAAGAAUUCUAAAUACUUCGAUUCUGAUCAUCUGAUUCAUUCAACAUCAAAAUGCGCUUCACCACCACCCUCCCAAUUCUCUUCCCUCUCCUCCUCAGCCUCCUCUUUACCUCCACCCAUGCAGCCACCUUCGACAUCCUCAACAAAUGCACCUACACCGUCUGGGCAGCCGCCUCCCCCGGUGGUGGACGGAGACUUGACUCCGGCCAGUCCUGGACAAUCACCGUCAACCCCGGCACCACCAAUGCUCGCAUCUGGGGCCGAACCUCAUGCACCUUCGACGCCAAUGGGCGUGGCAAAUGCGAAACUGGUGACUGCAAUGGCCUCCUCGAAUGCCAGGGCUACGGUUCUCCCCCAAACACCCUCGCUGAAUUCGCUCUAAACCAGCCCAAUAACCUCGACUACAUCGACAUCUCCCUUGUCGAUGGCUUCAACAUCCCCAUGGACUUCAGCGGCUGCCGCGGCAUCCAGUGCUCCGUUGACAUCAAUGGGCAAUGCCCCAGUGAGUUGAAGGCCCCCGGUGGAUGCAACAACCCGUGUACAGUGUUCAAGACCAAUGAGUAUUGUUGCACUGAUGGACCUGGAAGCUGUGGUCCGACCACAUACUCCAAAUUCUUCAAGGACAGGUGCCCAGAUGCUUAUAGCUACCCUCAGGAUGACAAAACCAGCUUGUUCACCUGUCCUUCUGGUACCAACUACAAGGUCACGUUUUGCCCUUGAAAGUUGGAACUCAUUUUCCUUCACUUUCUUGGUGAAUGAAAAGAGUACAAGACACCCAGGAAAGUUUUAGUUUUCAGCGUAGAGAAGAAUAAAUUUGUGCACGUAAUGAUAGUAUUGUGCGCAUGUGAUGUGAUAAUCAGUCUGUAAUGUGAUUCCAGUGAAAAAUAAAUGAAGAAGCCUACUUACUCAUUUUCACCUUGGAUGAAACUUGUCAACCUAUUUAACUUCUUUAACAAAAACAUAGUUUUUGGGUUCAACCUCCAUAAUACAAAACCCUUCAUUAUUUUUUGGCCUCAUUCAUUUAUUUAUUUAUUUAUAAAAAUAACUCUUUCUUUUAAAACACACAUAUAAAUACUUGAAAUAGUUAAGGACAUUUAUGUUAAAAAUUGAUUACUCUUCAAACAAAAACAUGGAAGAGGUUAAAUUCAUAAAUAUGAAGACUAUUUCAUCCCUUUUAACUAAUUAAUUCUUAAAUGAAUUACAUAAUAUAUUACUUGUUUAAUAAUUUGAUAAUAUUUGAAUUUAUAUUUUUAAUACGAUUAUUAUUUGUAUCAGAUUUAGAUUAACUUAUAUAAUAGAAAGCUUAGGCUUUAACACUAUACUAAUAUAACCAUCUUACACAAAUUGCCACCCCAUUUGUUGUUGGGACUGGUUGGAGGAACACACCUAACCCAGCCCACCAAAUUUGCAACUGGAUGGCUUGAAAUUUAGGCCCAUGAUGUCGGCCCAAUUUAUAUUAAUGAGCCCAAACCCAUCAGCAUACACUUUAUGAAGGACAUGAAAUCCAAAUAGGCUGAUAUGAAACGAACCCCUAUAAAGAAAAAGCCAGCAAAUCCCAAACUGAAAUUCAGAAUUGAAUAUGUGAGAAUCUUUCAAUUUCCAACAACACCCGACAGCGGCCCAUACUGAUAUAGGCUGUCUUCAAGCAGAAUAUUUUUUUUUUUACUACUAGAUCUGAAACAAGUAGUGGAAGCCCGAACAGGCCCAAUAGAUUCCUUCGACACCCGACAAUAAUCUACGAAUCAAACAGGUUUCUAAUUUGAGUACAGAUCUAAUAAACUAAUUAAUAAUUCUUUUUUCUUUUCUGUAAAAUAAAAAAGGACUUUUGAGCUUGAAUUUUUUUUCAGAUUAAAUCUAAGCGGUCAAUAAUAUUUCAAAGAAAUGUUUUUUUUAAUAAUAAAGAUUAAUUUACUAGUUUAGGGAUAGUAAAUAAACUAUAUUUAUUGAAGCCCGAUCCAAGCUUCAGUGACAAGGGUGAUAAAACAAUACUUUUAUAAAUCUAGAGAGUAAUCAUGAAUACCUCUAAAAUCAUAAUAAAAUCAAUUUAAAAUUAUUAUUUAGAUUUUAUAUUUUAAAAAAGAGUUAAAUUUCUUAUAAAUUAAUAAAGCUUAGUUUCAAGGACAAGUGUUAGGAGACCAUGUGUGAUAAAAAUAAAAAUAAAAACCCCAAAUGGGAAUAAGAUUUUUAAUAUUUUUUAAAUGUUCUCAUAAAAUUAUUAUGAAAAUCGUAAUUAUUGGAUCUUUGAUAGUCGUAUUUGAGAGGCUAAAUUAAAUCUUUUAUAAUAUUCAAUUAUUAUUGUUUGAAUGAUUUAUCCAUUUUAUUUAAAAGUAGUAUAUUGUUACACCCUAAUAAUAAUUAUAAAAAUUAUUUAAUAUUUUUAAUAAUUAAGAAAUUAUUUUCAAUUUUAUAAUAAUUUGUGAAGUUUUAAUUGAAAAAAAACAUUUUUAAUUAGAUUUAUCCGAUUUGAAAGUAAAUUUUAAGAGAAUUUCUAAAUUUUGUAUUUGAAUCGGAAGUUAUUAAACUUCUCACCAAUUAACAUAAAUUUAAAAGUAAUUUUUUAACUAUCAUGUUUUAUAAAUCUUUGUGUAAAAGUUUUCCAAUCAAACUUUUUGACUUUAGACCUGCGUGGGAUUGAAAGAUGUCCCACACACACCACGCGGCAUCAAACUCCUUGAUAUUAAUCUUGAUCUUAUCCUCGCCAAAUAGGAGGCCAUGAUUCCAUAUUUCCAUUACACUCUGUCACGGACCACGGCCACCUUCCCAAAUCCCCAGAUCAACAAAAACCAGCACUCCAUGCCUCGGUACCUGGGCACAAAAAGUCAAAGUAGCCGCCUCCAUAAAAUAAGUGGGACACUGAUCGACACAUGGCAUCCUGGCCUGGACUGCAGAGCAGAGGAUCAUCCCCAAACUUUUAUCCUCACGAGGAGCCGCCUGUACUUUAAUGAGAAAAGUAGAGACGUGCCUUUAUUUGCACCAAGCCAAAACGCAGCGUUUCCUCUAUAUAAACCCCCUGGUGUCAUUGAUGAGGCACAAGCCAAAAUACACCACACCUGACAUCUAUACUCCGAUUGUCAGCUCCAAGCUUCCCAGUAUGAGCGACUUGCGCAUCCUCUUUAUCUUCUUCCUCUGCUUCAUCUCCUCCAUCCAUGCAGCCACCUUCCAAAUCACCAACCAGUGUUCUUACACCGUCUGGGCAGCUGCCUCUCCCGGUGGCGGCCGCCGCCUGGACCGCGGCCAAAGCUGGACCCUCAACGUGCCCGCUGGCACCAAAAUGGCCCGAAUCUGGGGUCGAACCAACUGCCACUUCGAUGCCAGUGGUCGUGGCCGGUGCGAUACCGGUGACUGUGGCGGCGUCCUGAACUGUCAAGGCUGGGGUUCUCCACCAAACACACUAGCAGAAUACGCCUUGAACCAGUUUGGUAACAAGGAUUUUUUCGAUAUAUCUCUCGUUGAUGGGUUCAACAUCCCUAUGGACUUCAGCCCCACCAGCCGCGGGUGCCGUGGAAUCAAGUGCACGGCGAAUAUCAACGGGCAAUGCCCGCAGGCGUUGAAAGCUCCGGGAGGGUGCAAUAACCCGUGUACCGUGUUCAAGACUCCGCAGUACUGCUGCAACAAUAUUAAAUGUGGACCGACAGAUUAUUCGAGAUUUUUCAAGACCAGGUGCCCAGAUGCGUACAGUUAUCCUCAGGAUGAUCCCACAAGCACAUUUACAUGCCCUGGUGGAACCAACUAUAGGGUUGUGUUCUGCCCUAGAGGCUCUUCCAACAAUAUUUUUCCUCUGGAGAUGUAUGGAAGUGAUAGUGAGGAGUAAAGGGUCUUCAAAAUCCGAGUGAAAUAAGGCAUGUAUGUGAGCCCUCCUCAAUUAUCUAUCAGUACUAGUAGGUUGUCCAGCAUAAUGUUACAGUUCUAUGAACUUGUAGCUUUCUUUUCAUCUGUAGCUUUCAUGAUCUCCAUGAGAUGGAAGGUGAAAAGACAAUAACGGAAAAUUAGUCGUACAUCCUGUUUAGUGUCGUGUUUGUUUGUCUUGAAUGAAAAUAGGCGAUGUGGGAUAACGUUGUUUGACUUAAUGAUUGCCUGGUUCACCUAUUUACAGGUGGACCAUUCCAGUAAGACGAGUUUGGCUGAAUAUUGAGGGCCCACAGAAAGAAAAUUUGGAAAAAUUAAGCUAUGUUUGGUUCUCAGAAAAUUUGAGGAAAAAUAUAAGGGAAAGAAAAUACAAAGAAAAAAUAGAAGAAAAGAAAAAGUGAAAAAAAAUAAAAAAUGGAUUAAAAGUUGAUAAGUUAUUUUUAUUUUUUACUUCAAACUCAUUUUAUUUAUUUUAACUCAUUAAUAUAAAGAUUAAAUAAUUUUAAACUAUAUAGGUUUUUAAUUAGUUUUAAUUAUAUUUGAUUUUAUUUUAUAUUUUUUAUAAGAUAAUCAAACAUGAAAAAAAAAAAAUUUUAUAUUUUUUUUCUUUUCUUAUUAUUUUUCGGUAACCAAAGAUAAACACGUUUACCAAACACAUGGAUUAAUUAAUGUUUUCUCAGUGCAACCUUUUGAAUUGAAAAAGUCUUCUUAUCCAUAUAUCUUUCCUCCACUACUUUUUUCUCAUCGGAUUCUGACAGCUCCACUUAGUCGCACAAAAAAUCGCAAAAUCCCUAUUAUGAAGCCCCAUACUAGGGAAUACCGUAUACCAUUUAUUGCACCUUGUGAUGAUCAUGUAAAACCAUGGAAUCUAGAACCCUGAACCCUGAACCCUGCCAUCUACACCAAUAUUUCACGAAAUCUAAUCAUCCUAUCAAGGAGUUUAGGACUGCAAAUUUGUAACCAUGGUGAGAUGUGGCCCAGUCCAACUUAAUUGAAUGGGCCGCAUUUGGGUCGCAGUCUCAUGCUUGAAGUUAAGGCCUCCUAGGGCCCAACUUAUACAUGGUAUCAACUAAUCCUCCUAUCUUUUAUUUAUUUAUUAUUUUUUUCUCCCAUAAAUUUAAAAAAAAAAUAGAAAAUCAUGUAUGGAUACACUUCUUAUUUUUCACUUUUAAAAUUAGAAAAUAAUAAAAACUUUUAUAUAAAAUAUAAUGGCCCUUACAUAAAAAUAUAAACAAACCUUGUCACCUUGAUUUUUUUUUUUAAUAUUUUUUAAAAUCAUUAUCUUUAUAGGAUAAGUCAAGAGCUCUUACAUUUUAUGUAAGGAUUAAUAUCAUUUUUUAUUUUAAAAAUAAAAAAUAAAAAGUGUAUAUGAUAUCAAGUAUCACAUUUCCUUAAUUAAGAUGUAUUCUUUAUAGAGACUUUCUUAUUUUAUUUAUAUUUCCUCCUUAUAUUUCUAUAUUAUGAUAUGUUUUUUUUUAAUUAUCAUUACUAUGUAUAUGUAUGUUUAAUAAUUAAACAAUUGGCUUUUUAUAUGAAAUAUUGUUAUAUAAUAAAAAAAAAUUAAUUCUUUCUCAUUAUUUUCUCUUAUUAGAAUAUUGGAUAGAUUACGAAAUCACUUAAUUUUCUUACAUUUUUUUGUCUUCUUUUUAUUUGAAUUUUUUUAUAAUUUUUAUAAAUAAGUGUUUUUCUUACUCCAUAGGUUCUAUUUACUAAUAUACAAAACUCCAAGUGUAAUCUAUGUCAACUUUAUCCGUUGGCAUGAUGUGUUGACUUUGACUUUUGAUUUCUUUUAAUGUAAUAAAAGUGUUCAUAGACUAAUCGUCCAAUAUUAUUAUUAUGUGAUUGAGGGGUGUCUUCAUAAUUUUAUAUUGCAAAGUGGAUGAAGCUAAAAGGGAAUUAUGUAAAUAUGCAUUAUUUAAAAAAUAUAAAUAAAAAGAGAAUCGAAUAAAAAAAUAUUUUUUAUAAAAAGUACAUUUUAAAAAAAAUAAUUCUUAUUUUAUGCAUUGGGAUGAUACCUGCCUCACGUUACCUAAACAUAUUUUUACAUGUAUUUUGGUCCUACAUAACAUUAUUUUAGAUUUAAAAUACAUUUAUUAAUAAAAUAAUAUAUCAUUGUGGACCCCGUAUUUCGGCUCAAUGCGUUUCCCACUCGAUGGCGAGCUCGAUUUUCAUUUUGAAAAAUGAUUUAAUUGGUUAAAAAAAAUGACUUGGAGUCGCCACUUAUUUUUGUUUUAUUUUUAAAAGGGUAAACAAAAUAAGAAAAAAAAAAAAAACCUAAGUGUGACUCCUUAUUUAGGGUGGUCUGUGAAAAACCGGAUCGAGUUCGGGGGUCAGGUUACUUAUCGAGAAGGUACGGUAGAGACCGUAGUACCCCUCUAAGUCUCUAAAGUCGGGUCUCUACUAAUAAAAUGAAACAAUCAUGGCAAUUGAUUAAUCGAGCAUGGAUACCAGAUAAAUAUUACUCAAAACAAAAUAAUUGAAUGAAUAGAAGAGACAAAGAAUGUACCUGAGUGAUGAACCGGUUUACUUCAAUGAAAGCGAAUGUUAGCAAUUAAACACAGAAUAAUCACAUGCAUGUCAUAGAGUGGAAUAAAUCAAUCACGCGUGACAAACAAAUCAAUAAAUAAAUCAAUCAAUCAUAAAAUCAUGUAUGUGAGGCCCCCACCAAAGCCCAAUCGAUCUUGCAUGAAUUAAUCUCACAAAUUCCAUUAUUCUGAAAUUAUGAAAAUGACAUUCACGCUUAUAUAAAAUCGAGAUAAAUAGAAGAUUAUUCGAAACCCGAAAAACAUUAAAACUGUUAAAGAGAAAACUGAAUUUUUGAAAUUUAUUUAAAAAUUGGAGUCUUGGGAAUUAAAUUUAAGGAUUGGAUUUUUAUGGAUUAAAUUCGAAAGAAAACAUAAUUUUGAAAAUUAUUUGGGAAGUAGAAACCAUGAAAGUUAAUUUAUAAAAAACAAAUUAUGAAAAUUGGGACUUUGGAAAUUAAAUUUUGAAAGAAAUUAGAAUUAAAAAUUAUUUAUCCUUAGGUCGCUGGUUCGCCAUUUUGUGGACCCCGCAUUUCGGCUCAUGCAUUUCCCACUCGAUGGCGAGCUCGAUUUUCAUUUUGAAAAAAAAUGAUUUUUAUUGAUUAAGAAAAAUGACUUGGAGUCGCCACUUAUUUUUGUUUUAUUUUUAAAAGGGUAAGCAAAAUAAGAAAGAAAAACCCCAUGAUCACUCCUUAUGCUUGUUCGGAUUCUCAUACGUGCAUGAUCAUUUAAGGUAUUCGUAGGUUCAUUCAUCAAUUGCCACGUCGGCUUUUUUAUUAGUAGAGACCCGACUUUAGGAACUUAGAGGGGUGCUACGGUCUUUACCAUACCUUCCUGAUAAGUAACCUGACCCCCGAACCCGAUCCGGUUUUUCGCAAAUCACCUUUUCCAAAUUAAGGAGUCACACCUAGGGUUUUUCUUUCUUAUUUUGUUUACCCUUUUAAAAAUAAAACAAAAAUAAGUGACGACUCUAAGUCAUUUUUCUUAAUCAAUAAAAAUCAUUUUUUUCAAAAUGAAAAUCGAGCUCGCCAUCGAGUGGGAAACGCAUGAGCCGAAAUACGGGGUCCACACUCAUCCUUAUGUGAAUUAUGUUGGUAUGAGUGACCAUCCUUAUACUUAUAAUUGUUUCGGUAAAAUGAAAAUUAUUAUUUUUAAAUUCACUUAAAAGAUAACUUUUUUGGGUUGUACUUUGAUCAUAUUUUGUAAAGAGAGCAUGUUUACCUAAAUCGCCUUUUGAAGUCGUUGGAUUAAAAUAUUCCUUAGCUUUAGCUCUCAGUCAUUAUUUUAUAAUUAGUAGCUAUCAUUUUCUCAUUUAAUAUUGAUUAAUCAUGACCUCAGUUUUUCAAAACACGUGCCACGUAACCAAGAAUUUAUGGAAGCAACCGCGUAUGAUGGGUCGGCUCAUUGAAGCAACCGCGUGACCGCGUCCAACGUUUUCGGAUUCGGAUCCGAACCAUAGUCCGGUUCGGUUCAAUUCACAGCGGGUUGACUUCCACUUUUUCAUACGUGCUAUAAAUCUUAUGUCAUGAUCAUCUUUCCCACACUUCAAACUUUUUCCAGGAAAACAGAUUCGGGGGAAGAAAAGGUUAGAAUUUUGGUUUGCAUUUGGAAUCUGUUGCAAUUCUCAAUCAGAAAAUGCCUCAAGGAACACUUGAAGUCCUUCUUGUCGGUGCCAAGGGUCUCGAGAACACUGAUUUUCUCUGUAAGUUUCUGCUGAAGUUUCACAGAUUUUCUCGUUUUCUUUCUUCUUCUACUGGUUCACGUUGAGAUUAAUGUCGAUGUAUGUGAAUUUAUGUUGGUUUUUGGUCUUAUGGAUGUGGUGCUUUUCAUAUUGUUGUAUGAUCUUCUGAUCAGGAUCUAGGUUUUGACUCUGAGAGAGAGUUUUUGGCACUAGGAUUUGAUCUGGGUCUCGUACACAGAGAUUUUAGCUUUUUGAGAACUGUUACUCUUUUAUCAUUUUUUUGAGGCAGGACCACGUUUGGCUGCUGAGAAAGCAGAGGAUGGAAGGGAAAACUUUUUUUCAAUUAAUGAAAAAUCCUUUUUUUUUUUUUUAAAGCGUUUCAUUCUUGUUCUCCAUUUCCCCACCAACCAAAUAGAUGGUUUUAAGUUCUUUUUUGUUCUUGUAAGCAGUAAGUCGGAUAGAGGUUCCAGAAAUCCCAUUAAUUCUUAGGGUCUUUGCAAUUUGAUUUGACUUUAAUGAUCUAUCUUCUAUAUCUUCAUGGAUGGUGGCUAUAGUUUUAACAGAUCUUGAUUUGUGCAAUAUUUAUUUCUCAGCUUAGUAUCAUUCUUAUUGGGAUCUAAGUUAUAAUUUUUUUUUUUUCAGUUUAAAUUCUGCUUCACACACUUCUUGUUGAAUUGGUGGUUUUUGAUCUUCUUCACAGAGACGCUGGAUUAAUAGUUCACAGUUAAGGUUAAUUUAGUAGGAUCAAUUUGGUUGGGUUUAGGUCAUACAAUUUUUGUUUUCAAUCAUAUCUAUCAAGAGAAUUAUUAAUUAAGGAAAAAGAAGUUUAUUAUCUCCUCGGAAAUUUAUUAUCAUCUCUGUUUGUAUUCUUGUCUUGCUUAGAUUUCUUUAAGUUAAAUAAGCUACAUUCAUACUUAAAAUAUGAGAUUUCCUUUGGAUAGUUGAGAAUUGACAAAGGCAAGUGUGUUUUUCUGAUAUAGAAAGUGGAUUUUGGUAAUAUUUGUUUCUGUUUUCAUCCUGUCCAUUCAUUUGAAUCAGUCUUAUCUGUCGAGUAUGAAAUUUUGGACUUAUACUGAAGCAAAUUGUUUCAAUUAAUUGCUCAUGUGUUCUUUAGGCCAUGAUCUCCAUCGCUAUUGUGUAUCUCUGUGUUUCCUGAUUGAUGGUAUUUAAUUCUUUUGGGCAGGUAACAUGGAUCCUUAUGUUGUUCUCACUUGCCGCACUCAGGAGCAGAAAAGCAGUGUUGCAUCAGGUGUGCUCUCUAAUCCAUUUGAUUUGUAAGCAGAAAAUAUGCAUAACAAAACAUAACAGAUCUGUACCAGUUCUAUAUUCACAUUGGAAACUGUGGAUGCAGGAAAAGGAUCUGACCCAGAAUGGAAUGAACAUUUCGUAUUCACCAUAUCUGAAGGCAUCUCAGAACUCACCAUUAAAAUAAUGGACAGUGAUAGUGGUAGUGGUGAUGAUUUUGUGGGAGAAGCAACGUGAGUACUAGUUCCUACCUAUGAAUAUUUCCAGCCAGCAAAGUUCAAUGUCCUAUUUUUCAUUUUGAUAAUGCUAAACUAAGGAUUUACACAGUCAGUUUCUGCCUUGUCUAGUACCACCAAUUCUAAUUCAGUGCUACUUCUGUUAACCAAACAUGGUUAGUGAAAAUAUGUAUUUUGAAGAUUCAGUUCUAGCUUCUAGGCAUUGACCAAAAACUUGUACAAAUACUGCUAAGAGAAAUCAGGAUGGCUUAUUUUAAUUCUCAUGUAAAACACAAUGGGACUGGUGAACCUGGUAAGUAUUUAUUUGUAGGUAGUGCCAAGGAAGGUUAAUUUGAUGCUUGCUUUGUUACCCUUGCAGCAUUCCACUAGAGGCACUCUUCACGGAAGGAAGCCUGGAGCCAGCACCGUACAAUGUUGUUAAAGACCAGGAAUAUUGUGGAGAGAUUAGAGUUGGCCUCACUUUCACUCAGAAGGUGAUUUUCUAUCUUUGUUAAUUUGCAUGAAUUCAUAUGCAUUAGCAGAGAAAAAGAAAUGUGAAACCCUCCUAAAAACUUGCCCUUCAUGACAAGGUAGCAGCAGCUCAAUGAGUUGCCCUUGAUUUGACAAAGCAGGCAUCAUUUCUAAAUCUCACUGUGACAUUCAUAAUCUCCACUAUGAUAUAUGGGAUGAGGCUUCUUCCUUUUUUCCCCCUUUGAUAGAGUUGAGAAGGCACUACAAAAGUGCUGCUGAACUGACAAUUUUUUACUUUCCUUGCCAUAGGGAGAAUGUGAUGGGGAGUCCUGUGCGCAGGAGGAAAACUAUGGCGGAUGGAAAGAGUCUUCUUAUUGAGUAUGAGGCAGUGCUUCUGAACUUGUGGUAUUAUGUGGUCUGAGGAUGGAAAUAAUUAGACCAUUUGGUUCAAUAUAUUUCUGAUGUUGAGACAUGUGGUUGAGGAAUUUCAGUUUGAUGUUAGUGUGUUGACUCAUGAAAUGUUCAUCUAGUUUCAUCUGUUACAAUCAAGUGUUCUCCCAUACUAGAAAUUUUGAAUUAAAUGGUAGUGUUAACAACAACAUAGUUUUGAUGGAUAAUCAAAUGGUGGUGAUCAGCUGUUUGCUGACAAGUGUGCCUAGCAGUAAAGAACUUGGUUAUAUUACUGAUUGGAAUAAUGGAAAGUACUGGCUUUGCUCAAAAUCAAAGCCUGAGUGGAGAAGUGGAAGAUUGAGGCUGAAACCAGCUUAUUUAGUCAAGUCUGUGGUAGUGGUAGGUUGUACACAGCUUGGGUCUUUGGGGCAUGAGUGCUGAGCAACAGCUCCUAACCCAACACUUCCACCAAAUAAAACAUAAGUUCAUACCUACGGCUUUGUUUGGAAUGGGGGAAAAAAUAGGAAUUUUUUUUUAAAAAAAAAUAGAUUUCUUUAAUUUUAAAAUAUAUGACUUUCCAAUUGAUUUUAAUUAUAUUAAUUUUUAAAGAUUAAUUGGUUGAUGGGAGUCUCAAUUGGUAGAGGUACCAAUCAACAACCAAAGACCUACUCCUUACCAUGGUCACUUCUAGUGGUCGAUUGUGUGGUUUGCCUAACGCUUACUUUAACUUGGAAUAAGCUUUUGGAAUUCUUUAUAAUGUGGUUAAUCAUUCAAAUCUUUUGAAAAGGAACUUUUAUUCAAUUGACUGAGUGCAUUCACACCUAAAUUUGCAUAAUCUAUUUUAGUGCCCAUUCAAAUCAGCUAUUCUGUGAAUUAUACUCUGGUUUAAGUUAGAGGUUGUAUUCUUGAGAGACUACAUUCUUAUACUUUGAGAGAAAGGGGAUUGAUUUAGUGUGAAAGGAUGCUUAGAUGCUUGUAAAGAUUUUUUGAAACUUUGAAUUCAAGUAUACAAAGAUUGAAUGGAUUUAGUUGAAAAACCUUUGUGAAAUAAACAUAGGCAAUUCUUGAACCAUAAAAAAAUCGGCCAAUACCCCAUGCACCUCUAGAAUUGUAUUAGCCUAGACUUUCAUAUUAGAUUUAGGCCUCUUAUUUAAGACUUUCUCCUUUCUGGUAAGUGUAAUUAGAAAAACAAAAGGAAAAGGCAAGUAAUUUGUUAACUUUCAACCCUUGGAGAGAGGACCACUGGAGGCUCAAUAUCAGCAUCAAUGACUGUUUCCAAAAUUAUCUCUCUUUCCCUUCUCUCUAUUCUUCAAAUGUCUCUCUGUUAUUUGAUACAACAGUACAUAAUAUGCUGAAAGGUUAUACAGACUGUAAAAUCUAAGCAGCAAAUGCAGUACAUGAAUUAGGCACAAACUUGUGGCCAUUUUCUAACUUUAGGAAUGAGAAGUAGAGGAUGUUCCUUCUGUAUAUUGGCACCAAACUUUUCCCUCAUGUCUAUCUCUUUAGGAUCACCCCAAUUCGGAAGAGACCAAUCAAAGAAAUGAAUCCAGGAAACCAGAACCGGGGGAAUCAGCUUUACAGCCAUGGGAAGUCCAGGGCAGAUUCUCCUUCCUGCGCCGAAGGGUAUGAAUUCAAAAUUAGUCCCUUGAAAAUCCACAAUUGAGUUCAGGAAGCGCUCUGGUUUGAAUACUAAAGGGUCUUCCCAACUCAUGGGGUCUCUUCCAAUGGCCCAGGCGUUUACCAGUACUUGAGCAUCUUUUGGAAUCGUAUAGUUCAUCACUUUGCAUGAUUCAAGUGCACGGUGAGGAAGGAGAAAUGGUCCAGGUGGAUGCAGCCUCAGGGUUUCCUUGAGGCAAGCUUGAAGGUACGGUAGCUUCCGUAGAUCGGAAUCUUUCAGUGUGCUUUUGUUGAUCUCUGUGGUGAGUUCUUCACGGAUUUUCUUCAUGGAGUCUGGACUUCUUAUCAACUCUGCCAUUGCCCACUCAGUGGUUACACUAGUAGAUUCUGUACCAGCAAUAAGUAGCUCCUGCCAAACAUCAUCUGAUCUGAGCUUGAAUAGAAAAUCGGAACCAAUUGGGCGACAAUUCCUUUUCAAGUUAAGCAACGAUUAAGUACAAAAUGAAAUGAUGUUAUAAUGAUUCAAUUAAUUUAAUUUCUUUGCCAAAAUCAAAUAACCACGAUCAUAGUCUCUUUACUUAUGAAGUGUUCCCACCACAUGAAUAACAUAAUUAACCUCUUACAGAAGAUUUAUUAUGGCAGUUCAAUUAUAUCUAUAAGUGCAAGAGUGGAGAGAGUCAGAGAGAGAGAGAGAGAUCAAACCCCAAGUAAAAAGUUAAUCCGAUCAUCUGUAAAACCAUCGUUGAUUAGAGCAUCGAGAAAAUCAUGUUGCCUAGUAGCAUGGCUCCCUUUUCUUUCUCUUCUUUCUUUAACGAUAGGCUGCCACAGACUAAACAACUCCACAAAGGAAUCCCUGGAUUUCUUCUGUAACCUCUGAAGAUCCAACCCACGUAGAAUUGGAUAAUAAUCAGCUAAAUUUGGAGUAGACAUCACGUCCACGGUUUUCUUGACACAUCCUAGCAUCCUCGCAACUGCAGUCUCAUCCUCCAAACUGACUAGAUCUUUUGAUAAUAGAGCAUUACUUAUCAUAUUCAGUGCAGUAACAAAGGCUAGUUCUUUAAGUUUCACCACCCUACCCUCCAUUGAGCUCAAGAAUCCAACCACCUCCAUCAGUUUUUUCUCUCGUAAACAUGCUUGUGACUCGAUGGCUUUGCCCGAGAAAAGUUGAGUUCGGCACAUUGUACGCAAGUACUUCCAUCUGUCAUCACACUCAAGCGACCAUACUAUUGAGUUAUUAUAGAAUUCUGAGCUCUUUUCUGGCAUCACUCCCGGAACAUAUCGGGCACAGAAAAUACGGUCAUAAGAGCUGAGAAUUUCUUUGGCGGCGGCCGCCGAUGAUCCCACGAUCAGAGUUUGAGUUCCGAGUCGUAGUGAGAAGAGCGGACCAUAGGAUCGUGCAAAGUCGGCCAUAGCUAUAUGACGCUGUUUCCCUAUCUGGUGAACGUUGCCUAUGAUUGGCCAUGGAUAUGGACCCGGUGGAAGUGAUAUUGGAGACUUUGAUUUGAGAUGCUUGAGGAUGAGAAAGAUGAGAGGCAGGAGAAGAAGGAUCAAAGGAAAGAGAUUGGUUCCUUCAGUUAAAGCUGCUUCAUCCAUUAAUUUGAUGAAACAAAGCUGGUUUUUGCCGUGCAAAAAUUGUUUGUGCAGGAGCCUUCUUAUAAUGGAAGAUGGAGUUAAAGGAGAAUUCAGCCAUUUACAAUCCUAUAAUAGAUUAUAGAUCUGUCGAAUUCAACUGGUCCACCCACUUUGAAUUGUAGUUGCGGAUAUUGCUGAUAAAAAUCCUUGUAAUGAAAGAGGGGCUAAUAAAGAAUCAAUCAUCCAGAUCUCCUGUCAAUGACGGUGUCAUUUGAAAAGGCCCCUCUUUGAUUUUUAGUGCUUGAAUGGAUUGAAAAUCAAUGCCAUUCGUUAACGUUUUGAAAUUAUUGCAUUUCUAUUAUACCUCAAAAUGAUAGUAAGAAGAUUUUUAUGCAAUGAUAGGGAUGACAACUAUAAUAAAAACCUCUCCUUCCUUCACUCAAGUAGUCUCUUCAAUCCUAUUGACUCUUAAGACUCACCAAUUACUUUAAAAUUUGGAGUAGGUUUUUUCAAAAUAAAUUUACGAAAAUGUCCACUAAAAAUAUAAAAAUCGAGUUCUACACUGAUCAGCAUUCAGAUAUCCUAUAAUUUCGAGAUAGGUCGACAUUUAAAUUUCACUUAUAAUUUUUGGUUUUUAAUUUUCUGAUAUUUCUAUAUAUCAUAGCCAUAACUGAAGUGUUGGAUUCAAUGCAAUGAUAGAACAGAAGAACCAACCUAAUCUAAUACAUAAACAAAUGGAUUUAAAGGCGAGGAACCAUUUUAUCUACUUUGAAACUGAUAAUUCUUUAGUGCAUUGUAUAAUAGGAUUGUCUGUAUUUGAUUGUAUAUGAAAUUGCAACUGGUUAAUAGAGUAUUGCUACUGUUGGUCCUGCUUUCCUGCUAUAAGGCCUUGAUAGUAUUUUAUCCCUCGUUUUCUCCCUGGGAUAUUUGGCUGCUUCAUAAGGAGACCAAUCACACACCAGGAAAAAAAAAAGGUCAUAUAUUGGUGGGUAAUGUGGGAUGAAUUAUACUUAGGGGAAUGUCUUGAUUUCCAUUUCUCCAAAGAGCGAUCUCUUAGCUAGGUAGUAAAAACCGAUUAAUCGAUAAUAUGGGAUUGUUGUUUGUUGCCUUGUCUGCUAUGAAGACUGCAUAUUGAACAAUUAAUCAUGGACAGGAACUGUUGGAAGAAGUAAGUUGGUUAAGCUUGGAUUUAUUAGUCUUACAUCAGUGGGUGUCUAGGAAAUUUGAGUACGGCCGGGAAAUAGUACUGGAAAGCCUCCUUUACUGUAGUUUUACCGUACAACAAUGGAGUGUAUUCAUUCUUAUACAACAAUUUUAUAUUCCUUCAUUGCUAUAGAUAUCUAUAACUCUCCAAUAUCAAUAGGUGUGGAGAAUGCAGAAAUCAGUUUCCAUCUGUCCCUUUCUUGACUCCAUGCUGUAGGUUUGGGCAGAGAAUGUUGUGUUUUAGAAAUGAUUCUCCCAAUUCUUUUCCAACAGAUUUCUGGGAAAAACAUAUCAAUGAUGUUGCUUGAAAAACAUAGGCAUGGUGUGCAAUUUGCUCUCUCUCCUGAAAAAGCAAAUCAAUAGUGUAGUAUAAGAAAAUAUAGUAUCACCAAGUUGGCCUUUGCUUUUGAUGAUUAUUUUUUGUCGAAGAAAAAGCAAAGGAAAACCAAGCCCUUCUAUAUUCCCUUGACAUGCAUAAACUGAAUCAUCCUGCACUUGAUUCAUGGAAAGAACAAAAGAUCACAUGGUAUGCGCAACUGUAACAAUCUCUUGGGCAUUUGCAAACUUAUUGGAAGAUUGAAAAACAAAAUAAAGAGGUUAGUAAGCAUAAUGUCACAGAGUUAGUUGUUUACUAAGCUCAUGCGGCACUUAGACAAGGCAAAACGCUUGAUCUUGCUAAGUCAGCCUUACUUCCAAUGCUUAGUUUGCUAGGCUAAGAUGUUUGCUACUCAAAAGUUGUAGAAGACGUAGUAGGCAACUCUUAAAGAAUGAAAGCUUUAUUGCUUUCAAAGGAAGCUAUACAAUACUUAGUAGCUCACUUGCUUGGUCAUGAAGUGAUUUGGGUGGUGCUUUGGCCAAAUGAAACCCUCACCUAUUUAUAGGCACCAAUAAAACUCUCUGAAACCUUGAAGGGUUCUUUACAUAUCAAGAAAAUUCUAGAAUACCCUACACAAUUCUAUGUGCAACCCUAUGUACAAGAAAUCUCUAGAAUUCUCUAGAAAGCCUUGGACUCCUCUCAUGCCUUCCACCAUAGUGUAGAGAUGUGUGGACAUUUCCAGGUAUCUCUAGAACUUUCCACACUCUUCCCUUCAAUGACUUAGUGUAGAUGGCUCCAGGAGUCUCCAAAAGCUUUCUAGGCUCUAUAUAAACCCAUGAGGAGGCUCAUUUGAAGCAUCCUGUGACAAUAAGCUAUUUCUCUUGAUUCUCUCAUUAAAUGCCUUAUGCUUCAUGAAAAUUGAGCAACUUAGUAUCUGGAUAGAAAUCAAUAAUAUUCCACUCGCUGCAAACAUGAGUAAGUGAAGGCCAUGUAGCUACAAACCAUAAUAGACUGAAAUGUGAUGCGAAACAUUACAUCUUUGCAACAGAUCACAAGUUACAUAGCCACACGCAGUACAAGAAGUUGGAAGAAACGUCUCUUGGUCAUUUUCUGCCUUUAGGAAUGAGAAGUAGAGGCUGUUCCUUCCGUAUAUUGGCACUAUACUUUUCACUCAUGUCUAUAUCUUUAGGAUCACCCCCAUUCGGAAGAGACCAAUCGAAGAAAUGAAUCCAGGAAGCCAGAACCAAGGGAAUCAGUUUUACCGCCAUGGGAAGUCCAGGGCAGAUUCUCCUUCGUGAACUAAAGGGUAUAAAUUCAAAAUUAUUCCCUUGAAAAUCCACAGUUGAGUUCAAGAAACGCUCUGGUUUGAAUACUAAAGGGUCUUCCCAACUCAUGGGGUCUCUUCCAAUGGCCCAGGCGUUUACUAGUACUUGAGCAUCUUUUGGAAUGGUAUAGUUCAUUACUUUGCAUGAUUCGACAGCGCGGUGAGGAAGGAGAAAAGGUCCAGGCGGGUGCAGCCUCAGGGUUUCCUUGAGGCAAGCUUGAAGGUAUGGUAGCUUCCGUAGAUCGGAAUCUUUCAGCAUGUUUUGGUUGAUCUCUGUGGUGAGUUCUUCACGGAUUUUCUUCAAGGAUUCUGGACUUCUUAUCAACUCUGCCAUUGCCCACUCAACGGUUACACUACUAGAGUCUGUACCAGCAACGAGUAGCUCCUGCCAAACAUCAUCAAACAUCUGGGUGAAGUCAAUAUGAUCUCAGCUUAAAUCGAAAAUGAAUUUAUAUGAAUAACACUGGAAACAAGUGGGGAGAUGAUUCUUUUCAUGUUGAAGAAAUAAUUAGUACAAAAUGAAAUGACGUCUACCAUAAUGAUAUAGCAUUGUUUACCAAAAUCAAAUGAUCAUCUUAACUAUAAAGUGUUAAUACCACAUGAAAAACAUAACUAACCUCUUCCACAAGUAAUUUAGUAUUGAAUAGUUCAAUCAUAUCUGUGUGUGCACAAGUGUGGAGAGAGAGAGAGGCAGAGAAUUCAAACCACAAGUAAAAUGUUGAUCUGAUCAUCUGUAAAACCAUCGCUUAUCAGAGUAUCAAGAAAAUCUUGUUGGCUAGUAGCAUGGCCGCCUUUUCUUUCUCUUCUUUCUUUAAUGAUAGGCUUCAGUAUACUACAAAACUUCACAAAGGAAAUGAUGGACCUCUUCUGCAGUCUUUGAAGAUCCAACCCUCUAAGAAUUGGAUAGUAGUCAGAUAAAUUUGGAGUAGACGUCACCUCCAAGAUCGUUUUGAAAAUUUCUCCCAUCAUUGCUAACGCUUUCUCAUCCUCGAAAGUAACAAGAUCUUUUGAUAAUAAAGCAUUACUUAUUAUAUCAAUGCAGCAACAAAGCCUACAUUUUUAAGUUUCACCACCUUACCCUCCAUUGAACUCAAAAACAUAACCACCUCCAUCAGCUUUUUCUCUCGCAAGCAUGCUUGUGACUCUAUUGCUUUGCCUGAGAAAAGUUGAGUUCGACACAUUGUGCGCAAAUACUUCCACCUGUCAUCACACUCGGGAGACCACCCUACUGCGAACCCGUUCAAACCAGUUAUUCUGCAUGGUAUCACUCGAGGAACACAUCGGGCACAUAAAAUGUGGUCAUAGGAGUUGAGAAUUUCUCUGGCAGCGGCAGCUGAUGAUCCCACGACCAAAGUUUGAGUUCCUAGUCUUAGCGAGAAGAGUGGAACAUACGAUCGUGCAAAGUCGAUCAUAGCAAUAUGGCGUUGUUUCCCUAUCUGGUGAACGUUGCCUAUGAGUGGCCAUGGAUAUGGACCCGGUGGAAGUGAUGGAGACUUUGCUUUGAGAUGCUUGAGGAUGAGAAAGAUGAGAGGCGGGAGAGGAAGGAUCGAAGGAAGGACACUGACUCCUUCGGUUAAAGCGGUUUGAGCCAUUGAUUUGAUCAUGAAACAAAGCUGGUUUUCGCCGUGCAAAAUUGGUCAGUGAAGAGGCCUUUUUAUGAGUGAAGAUGGGCCAGUGGAGAAUUCAGCCAUUUACAUCUCCUUUAAUAGGUACCGUAUUCAACCGGUCCACACUUUUUGGAUUCUAGUGCCGGGUAUUAGUGUAUUACUGAUAAUGAACCUUGUAAUAUAGAAGGGAGGCUAAUAAAGAUUAUUAGAUUAAAGACUACAAUAAUUUGGGUUUCCCCAUCAGUGAUGCUAUCAUUCAAUAGUGUCCUACUGUUUGUUUAUCCUACUUUUGUUGAUGGAAAAUCAAUUCAUCCACCGACUCUAACAAUGAGCGGAGAGGAGUGAUUCCAAAAGAAUGAAUGUGAUGCAUGUCAAAACCUUAUCAUGUCAUUGAGGUUUUGGUAAUAAGAUUUGAUUUCAAAAUUUUAUCAUGUCGUUAAGGUUUUGAUAAUGAGAUUUGAUUUUAUUUGGGUGAUAAUUUAUGUCGGUGGAUCAUGAUAGAUGAUUAUAAUGAAGCUUAUGGAAACCUUAAAAAGCUUGAAGACGAUAAAAAUUUAGAUAGGAGAAAAUGAAUUUACUCUCUAAAACCAAAUUAUACACUAACCAAUGGUGUAUUAAAGAGCCCCUUUAAUUAAUAGUGAAACCAAUAAUUUAAUGGAUAAUGCAUCAACUGAGGGAUCACCAUAAGAUAUUCUCAUUCUUUCUAAUUUGCAUUUACAUCAUGAUACUACUAAAAUGACAAGAAAGGUUAAAUAAUUAAAGUUUGGGAGAAUGUUGACUUUAUUUAAACAAAAGAAUUUUUUUAUGAACUCUAGCCUUUAGCCUUUAUGUCAAUAACACCAUAGGUAAAAUAGUCCGAAAAUAACGAUUUCAUGCAUAAAAAAUAAUCAAAAAAAAUGAGACUCUCAAUCCCUAUUUACGGAAAGCUUAUAAAAUUUUAAUUCUUUUUAAAUAAAUAUAUUAAAAUUAAAUUUUUUAAAUUUGGAUUUUAUUUUUUGAUUUUUUUAAAAAUUUGUAUAUAAAAAAUAAAUUUUUUUCCAAAAAUUAUUCUUUCAAUAGAUAAAUAGUAAUUAAACAAGAAUUCUAUAAUUAUCCUUAUCUGGAUGAUUGAUUUUUUAAUUUUUUUCAUGGGACAAGUUAUUUACGAAAGUGCACAUCUUUUUAGUAAAAAAUAAUCUCCUUUAACAUCCUUUUCUUUUUUUCAUUUUUUCUUUUUUUCAUUUUUCUCCCCCGGUUUAGAUAUUUUUGCAUCACUACAAUUUUUCUUCUAAAACCUCUCUAAUUUCUUUUUUUUUUUUAAUGUUCAUUGUAUAUAUUAUUAAUUUAUUAACUUAAAUAUUUUUUUUUAUUCAUUUAAUUUCCUUCUAUUUUAUUUCUCAAAUUUUCCUUUAAAAGAAAAUACUCUCAAACCUUUAUUUUGAUCAACCGUUGUCUUAAGUUCGUUAUUGUCAUGAUAGAAAUCAACAAUGUUUCAUUCUCUGCGAACGUCGAGUACGAGAAAGCCAUAUGCCUACGAACCAAAACAGGCUGAAAUGUGAUGCAAAACAUUACAUCUAUGCAACAGAUCACAAGUUACAUAGCCGCACCCGGUACAAGAAGUUGGAAGAAACGUCUCUUGGUCAUUUUCUGACUUUAGGAAUGAGAAGUCGAGGCUAUUCCUUCUGUGUAUUGGUACCAUACUUAUCACUCGUGUCUAUCGUAGGAUCACCUCCAUUCGGAAGAGACCAUUCAAAGAAAUGAAUCCAGGAAGCCAGAACCAAGGGAAUCAGUUUUACAGCCAUGGGAAGUCCAGGGCAGAUUCUCCUUCCUGAACUAUAGGGUAUGAAUUCAAAAUUAUGAAGAGGUCCAGGUGGGUGCAGCCUCAGGGUUUCCUUGAGGCAAGCUUGAAGGUAUGGUAACUUCUGAAGGUCGGAAUCUUUCAGCGUGUUUUGGUUGAUCUCAGUGGUGAGUUCUUCAGGGAUUUUCUUCAUGGACUCUCCCAUUGCCCACUCAGCGGUUACUCUACUAGUGUCCGUAUCAGCAACGACUAGCUCCUGCCAAACAUCAUCAAGCAUCUGGGCGAAGAUAUGAUCGAAACAAUUAGUACAAAAUGCUCAUCUUAACCAUUAAGUGUUAAUACCACAUGAAAAAACAUAAUUAACCUCUUCCACAAAUAAUUUUGUAUUGGAUGGUUCAAUCAUAUAUAUGUACGUGUGUGCACAAGUGAGGAGAGAGGCAAAGAGAUCAAACCCAAUAUGGUUUGUGAAGGAGCCUUCUUAUAAAUUAUAAUGGACGAUGGGGUUUAGAUUAUAAAUCUGCGGAGUUCAACUGGUCCACAUGCUUUGGAUUGUAGUAGCGGAUAUUGUAAUGAAAGAAAGGCUGAUAGAGAGUCAAUCAUCCAGAUUUCCUAUCAAUGAUGCUGCCUUUGCAAAAGGUACUCUUUUUUUUUAGUGCUUUAAUGGAUUGAAAAUCAAUACCUUCCAUUGAAGUUCUGAAAUUAUUGUAUUUCUAUUAUCCCUCAAAAUGAUGGUAAGAAGUAUUUUCUUGAUCAAUGAUAGGGAUGACAAGUAUAAUUGAAGCUUCCUCUUCCUCCACUCAAGUAGGCGGUAUUUAAUUUGACAAAGCUAUCGGUUCGAUCCUAUUGACUCUUAAGACUCACCAAUUACUUCAAAAUUUGGAGUAGGUUUUUACAAAAUAAUCAUGGACAAGAACUCUUGGAAGAAGUACUAGAUCCCAAGUUCUCACGAUUACGAUUCUUUGUACAUCAAAGCCAAGCACUAUUAUUUUUCUCUUGCUUGGUGCAACAUUGUCGUGAGAUGCUCGUCGAAAAGUUUUCAAAUUCUUAAUUAGUAUGAACUUCUUCUUCUAAAUAAUAUUGUAUAGAAUAUUUAUUAAGUUGAUAUAUACUUUUAAUCUUAGGUUUUCUUAUAAAAUAAGAAAAGUUUUUAAGAAUAUUUUUAUAUAUUUUAAAUUAUAAAGGGAAAAAGUCGUGAAAUGGAGAUGGAGUUUUAAAAACUAUACAAAAUGGAUACAGAUACAAAAAAAAAAAUAGGAGACAUCCAGUGGAGUGAAAAGCUUGUGGUUUAGGGUAUUGGGGCAUAAAUAUAAGUGCAAAUAUAUAAAAUAUUUCGAGAACCCAAUGAUUUUAUAUGGUUUAUAUCUUAUUCAUGGAUGUGGACAUGAGGUUGAACCAUGUUAAAACAUCUUUACGUGAAUUUUUUUAUCUUUGUAUUCUUAAAUUAAUAUUAUUUGCAUUAAAUUUUCCACGAUAGUUCUAAAACUAAUUUAAAACCUAAAAGCUGUCUGAGAGCCUCUCAAAGAUGCCAAUCUUUGUAGACACUGCUGUGAAUACUUCCAUGAUGAAAGAAAGCUGGAUUUACAGUACUGCAAGUCAAUAGCAUGUUAAAUAGGCUUUUAAUGGUGGUACCAGUAAUGAAAAUAUCCCCCACUCUCAUCUUGUUGGGCCUCAUUGUAGAUCAACUACCAGAUUGUGAAAAGAAAAUUAUUACAAAUAACCAAUUGUAAGGCGCACCAACUGUGAAAUCAAUACUAAAGAUUCUCUUAACCCUAAUCUCAUGUGCAUCUUGUUGGGCCUAAUAGGGUAAUAUUGACCCUAAUUUCAUGUGCGUCUUGUUGGGCCUUGUAAUAGGAUAAUAUUGACCCUUAUCUCAUGUGCAUCUUGCUGGGCCUCAUAAUAGGGAAAUAUUGACCCUAAUCUCAUGUGCGUCUUGGGCCUUGUAAUAGGUUCAUGUUGACCCUAAUCCCAUGUGCCUUGGGCCUUGUAAUAGGAUCAUGUUGACGCUAAUCUCAUGUGCGCCUUGGGCCUCGUAAUAGGAGAAUAUUGACCCUAAUCUCAUGUGCAUCUUGUUGGGCGUUCGUAAUAAGAAAAUAUUGACGAAGGACAAACGAAUGAAAAUGAUAAAAUAGGAUCGGUUCUACUGAUAUACUGCCAUGAAACUUGCCAAGGUAAUCGCCUACAUUAGAAGAACAAUACACACAAAGAUCUGCCAGGGGGAAAUGGAGUUGGUGGGUAUUUGAAUAUGGGAUGAAUCUCGUACACUACAGGAAAUGCAUGUCUUGAUUUUCAGUUUACCAUGCAUGCAGUACAUUAAUUUUUGAAAUGCUUUGAAUUGAAUCAUUCAGUGGAAAAUGAAAUCUUGUCGGCUUGAAGCCUGUUUUAAUUCUUUCUUUCCUUUCUUUGAUGAUAAGAUACAACAGACUGUCAGACUACACAGCUUCCCAUACAACUCCAUGGACUUCUUCUGUAUCCCUUCAACAUCCAGUCCACCAAAAACAUUUGGAUAAAAGUCAGAUACAUUUGGAGUAUAAACCAAAUCCACUACUUCUCUUCAAUCCUUCCAGCUACCCCCUCUUCCUCCAGACUGAUAAGAUCACUUAAUAAUAAAACAUUACCCAUCACAUUUAACCCAGAACCAAAUACUACCUCCUCAAUUUUCACCACCUUUCCCUCCAUUUUACCCAAAAGUCUCACCAUGUCCGUCACUUUUUUCCGUCGUAAAAAUGCUUGUGACUCUAUUGCUUUACCUGAGAAAGGUUGUAUGCCUAGGGCUUGGAAGCCUGUUGUCGAGGAAUUAACAUAUCUGCCAGAUAGGCUGCGAUCCAAAGCACAUUAGGUUUGGGGCAUAAAUUUGGCCCAACCCUCCCAAGAAUUUCGAGCCAAAGCCCAUCAGGUCCUGUAUCUAGGGUUGGGCUUAUAAUGAUUUUAUAAACCCAUUCCCGGGCCAAGCACUCACGAGCUUAUAAGAUUUCCCUAAAAAAUGUCGUUCAAAAUGUGGAUAAUGUCAACAGUACAUAAAUCAAAACUUGUCACGUUAUUACAAAUUAAAUAAUAAAAUUUUGUUGAUGUCUUGGGCCUGAGAUAGGGCCUAAGCUAAGAACUAAAUUUCUAGUCCAAUCCAAAAAUCUGUCUGGACCAGAAUAUGGGGAGCCCAAACCCACGCCAAGAGGUCCAGGCCAUUGGCUGCUUUAAUACUAUUUAUAAUAACAUUAUUUUCCCUCGAGCUUAGUAUAACUUCAAAGACAAUAAUUGAGUUUAGUAUAACUUCAAAGGUAAUAAUUGGUUAUAUUAUUCACACGAUAAAAAGAAUGAAGCCCACUAAAUAUUGGUUGUUUCUUAUGUCAUAAGAUUACGAGAUUAAACAAAAUCACUCGUAUAAUUAGAUGAAAAUUAACUUUAAAAACAUUUGUAAUAACCCAUUUGAUUUCAUGUAAUUAUUGUAUGAAUAAGUUUUUUAAGCUGUGAAAUCUCAAUCUUAAAGCAAGAAUAUGCACACAUCAAAAGUUCUACCCUCGACAUGUUACAAUUAAGCUCAUCAUCUGAUUUCAUGGGCUUCAAUCCUUCGUACAAGGUCUUCAAGGACACGUCACACUCCUUUAAUUAACUAGGCCCUAUUCGAUAUGCAUUGUUAGGCCAUUGAGGAAGAGUUAAAUAUCAGAGUAAUGGUUUAGAGGCGUCCACGUCCAACGUUGCACUCCGUCAAUUUCCGAACAACGCAAGUAUUGAGAAAGUAACACAAUGUCAUAGGUACAUCAUACAUGUGACAGCGCAGCUUGUCACCACGCCCAAACA